UUCAGAAACUAUUCUCUCUUGAAGUUCUCUAGUUCUCUGAUUCGUGGAUUUCCUCUUUGAAGCUCUUCGUUCAUACUCUUCCAUCCCAAGCUCUACAUAUAAAUUCAAUGCUUCAAAAGCUUUAAUGUUGCAGUAAUGCAAAGGUUGGGUUUUCAAUUGAAGCCUAAUGUCAGGUUUUUCUUCUCUUUUUCAGCAUUCAUGUUUCUUUGGCAACACUAGUCACUCUUAUCUCAUUCCUGAAAACACAAAACCAGAAAACCUUACCUUGUAUUUAUUACAUUGAAAAUUAACCUGGCUUUAUGAGUUAAAUGUUGUAUCUUGUGCUUGAAGGGUUCUUAAUGGAAAGAGAAAGCAGAGUCUGGAAGUGGAACUUCAACAGUGCUAAAAAGGAAGCAUUUUAAAUAUAACAAAAUUAGUGAACAAAUAGUAAUGUAGCCUUAAAUUGGGUCUAGUGAGGACAUCUUUGUAGACAUAUAAAAGUGAUUGGAAAUCUGCAUAAAAUGCAAACUACCUACUAACUAGAGGACUAUAACAAAGAAAUGAGCUCAAUUAGGUGGCCCUCAUUUCUCUAACUGAAACAAAAACAUGUGACUAAGUAAAGAUGUUGUUUGCAUUUGUCCUUAGGCUUCGUGAUACUUCUAGUGUUUUCCUUUUAUGUACUUAUCUUGUAGAGUGCGCUUUUCCAGCUCUAAAGGUGAUCUGACUAUUGAAUUCUGCACUAAUAUCAACAAUGGUACAGUUGAAGAGUAGAGCAUUUACUAUAUCAAAUUUUUAUUAGAUGCUUUCUGGUGUUUCCAUUAGAUGCUUUCCUGCCUUUCAAGUUUUUAUCAGCAGCUACAGGAUGACAUUAGUUUACUAAAACACUUGACUCAAAAUCAGCUACUGCAUCAUGUUGUCCUUCUUCAUCCUCCUCACUUGACUUAAAUUAGAUACUAUAGUAUAUCAGGUUUUUGGUUGCUUCAUCUGUAUACCUUUCAUUCCCAUUCAGGUACCUUUUGAAGUUCAUGCCAGAGUGAGCUCAAGUGUCAUGAUUCAAGGAUAUCUGAGAAAAGAGUCCAUCCAGAAGAUGUGCAUCAUCUUGAUGUCAAAACUGGCAUGCAAAUUAGAUAGGAGGCACUUCAGCUACAAUUAUAGUAUAGUCAAAGGUGUCUUCAUGAGCAGCUAAAGGGACAUUCUUGUUGUUGACUUCAGAGAAUUAGAGAAGGUUUUUGGUCUUCAUGAGCAGCUAAAGGUCUCCUACGAUGUGGAAACAGUUGUCGACUUCGGUGGAUUAACUAUCUUCGGCCUGGCAUCAAGCGUGGCCCAUUUACUGAUGAAGAAAGUACUACUAUUCAACUUCAUGGCUUGCUUGGCAACAGAAGCAAUAUGCCGAGAGGGAGAGAGAAUGUUGAGUUUCACAGUAACUACAUCAAGUAAUGGCUAAUGCAGGAGUAUGCUUUGGCAAGGAAAAUCCUAGCAGCGGCUGUUUUGUAUAAUGGCUAGAACUGAGAUUAAUUAAAUUAACAUUUGUGAGCUUUUCUCAUAGUAAUUAAGUGUAGGGUGCAUAUUAGCUAUAGUAUCAGUUAAUGAUUUUUAGUGGGGUUGGGUGUGAGGUUUUUAUGUAGCUUUUGACUGUCUGCUGAAGCAAUUAUCUGUUUCAUGCUUUUGACAGAUUUUUUCUGGUUUUAACUUGACUCUUUUGUUUGUAUUGAGUUGUACUUCAUUUCAAUAUUCAUUUGGCUUAUGAAAAAUGGAACUUCAAUCUUA